GCCCUGGUAGUAUAGCAGUUAAGUGCUUGGCUGCUAACCAAAAGGUUGGUGGUUCAAACCCACCCUGCA
rnacentral:tRNA from 1 species